AGCGAACGCUGGCGGCAGGCCUAACACAUGCAAGUCGAACGAAGCCUUCGGGCUUAGUGGCGGACGGGUGAGUAACACGUGGGAACGUACCUUUUGGUUCGGAACAACUCAGGGAAACUUGAGCUAAUACCGGAUGAGCCCUUAGGGGGAAAGAUUUAUCGCCGAAAGAGCGGCCCGCGUUAGAUUAGCUAGUUGGUGAGGUAAAGGCUCACCAAGGCUACGAUCUAUAGCUGGUCUGAGAGGAUGAUCAGCCACACUGGGACUGAGACACGGACCAGACUCCUACGGGAGGCAGCAGUGGGGAAUCUUGCGCAAUGGGCGAAAGCCUGACGCAGCCAUGCCGCGUGAAUGAUGAAGGUCUUAGGAUUGUAAAAUUCUUUUACCGGGGACGAUCAUGACGGUACCUGGAGAAAAAGCCCCGGCUAACUUCGUGCCAGCCGCCGCCGUAAUAC
rnacentral:rRNA from 1 species